AUGCUUAUUUCAUCAUCAUACAUGCUAAAAAUUGUAAUGAUACAGAGAAGAUUAUCAUUGCCUCUGGAGAAGGAUGACAUGCAAAUUCAUGAAGUGCUGCAUAUUUUU